rnacentral:rRNA from 1 species
UACAUGUGGGGCAAGCGUUGUUCGGAAUUAAUGGGCGUAAAGGGCGCGUAGGCGGCCUUCUAAGUCGGACGUGAAAUCCCUCGGCUUAACCGAGGAACUGCGUCCGAUACUGAAAGGCUUGAAUCCGGGAGAGGGAUGUGGAAUUCCAGGUGUAGCGGUGAAAUGCGUAGAUAUCUGGAGGAACACCGGUGGCGAAGGCGGCAUCCUGGACCGGUAUUGACGCUGAGGCGCGAAAGCUAGGGGAGCAAACGGG